rnacentral:rRNA from 1 species
GAUGAACGCUGGCGGCGUGCCUAAUACAUGCAAGUCGAGCGAACAGACUAGGAGCUUGCUCCUCUGACGUUAGCGGCGGACGGGUGAGUAACACGUGGAUAACCUACCUAUCAGACUGGGAUAACUUCGGGACACCGGAGCUAAUACCGGAUAAUAUAUUGAUCUUCAUUGUUCAAUAGUGAAAGACGGUUUUGUUGUCUUUCAUAGCUAGAUCCGCGCCGCAUUAGCUAGUUGGUAAGGUAACGGCUUACCAAGGCGACGAUGCGUAGCCGACCUGAGAGGGUGAUCGGCCACACUGGAACUGAGACACGGUCCAGACUCCUACGGGAGGCAGCAGUAGGGAAUCUUCGGCAAUGGACGAAAGCCUGACGGAGCAACGCCGCGUGAGUGAUGAAGGUCUUCGGAUCGUAAAACUCUGUUAUUAGGGAAGAACAAAUGUGUAAGUAAAUAUGCACGUCUGGAACGUACCUAAUCAGAAAGCCACGGCUAACUACGUG